CUCGACUAUAGACAGACUCAGGUUGAAGCACAAGUUCAAUUUAUGCAGCAGAAUACUCGGGAUGUUACGAUGAAAACUCAAGAAAUGAUACAACACAAUAUAGCGGCAUUAAACUACUGGACAAAUCAAAGUCACUACCCAGAGAAACAACUAAUCGUAAAAUCCUUGAAACCCUAAUGGCAGCGGCUCCGAAUUCCUCGGAGACCAUGGAGACAACCAUGCUCGACGUGACCGACGUCCUCCUUGCCUCCCGACCACCGGACCCGGACGACAAUUCCCCGGGGCAGGAUAGCCACGCUUCUUGGGUUACUGCGACGGUGCUGUCGAUCCCUCGCAAAUGAGCUCGGUCUCUUAAUAGCGAGCUCCCUCCCGUCGACAGCGACGUGGGGCUUCGACCAAGUUCGGGAUCUUUGACCCCCUCUCAUGAAGCAGAAAAACCUGCCUCCGCAUUAGGGUCCACUCCCCCGACUUCGCAGCAGGCAUAGAGAACGGAUACAACACGGUAGGCUUUGCAGAACCCUAAGGGCGCGUCUCAGUCUAGUCCUCCACACUCUCCUCCAAGCUCUUUCAAGGAUGCCAUGAUUGGCUCCCCUUGGUUGCUGCCGAGUGAUACAGAGGAAGUCCUGGGGAGAAAGGGAGAAUGUUUUGGGAUUUCUUGAUGAUUAUUCGGAAUAGUCGAUUCUUAGGAAUUAACCAUUCCGCAAUCAUCAUGGAGAAAAUAUUUUUAAGGUCUUUACGAUUUUUAUGGUUUCUUUGGGUAAUAUAGUAGGCCUAGAUUAAUUAAAAGUUAAGUUCUAAAACAAGGCGAAUGCGGGAUUCAAAACCUACACUUACGGGUUAUUAAGCUAAAUGUUUAUCGUUUGGCUGAAUGUGAUUUAUUGAUUGAAACUCUGGUCUGGGCAAUAUUUUCUUGGACAAGCCACGACAGACAUGAAAUCGUCCACCAAGCCCGCCUUGCUGGCCCGAGUUGCGCGCCCAACUCAGGGCAGACCAGACCCAACCCAGUCCGACUACACGAGUUGAACCUAGAGGCCACCACCUAAUUCACGACUGCCACCACCUCCAUUCGAACCUUAUCUCUUCAUCUUCACUCCUCUCACAGCCUCUUCUUUCUGUCUCCUCCUCCCCUUCGUUUAAUCUUCUCCGUUGAGCACAGAGACAUCGAUGUGAUGACGAUUUAUCCAAGAGCCGACUUCAAGAAGAGUGACGAUCCCUUCUAUGAUUCUUUUCCUGCAACAAUUAGGUAAUGAUUCAAUUAAGGCGAUCAAAUGAUAUCGAAUCAGACAUUAGGUUUUAGAAAGACGGAACAAUCUAGAGUUCUUCCUAAGAGACCUAUCAAUCUAUGUUCCUCUCAGACCCACAAAUCAAUGACGAUGAUUCAAUUAAGGAGAUCAAACGAAAUUGAAUCUGAAAUCAGGUUUAGAAAGAACACACCAUAAGUCUGAAUAACCUCGAUAACAAAUCAAAGGAUUAAAACCCCAUCAUCCAUACAAAAGCUAAACUAAAGGUUCAUCUCAUCCAAACAACAUGAAAGGUUCCAAGAAAGCUAGAAGAAAGGAAAAUAACCCGGGAAGAAAACAUGUUUCGCCGAGAAAUCUCCGUCUUGUCGCCGAUCUUUGACCCGUCUCUAAUCGUUGAUGCUCUGUAACUUCAAUCGAUCUCUGGAAUUGUAUCUCUCUCAAAUAUCCAAUCUCUAUCUAGAAUAAGGUAUAUCUCGUCAAAAGGGUUGCUCGGGCUAUUUAUAUCGUCUGUUUCGAAUUGGAGAAGGAAAGGUCUGAAAAAUCCGUCUGAAGAUGAGACACGGUGUGUCGUAGGAGGACACGUCGUGUUCCUUAAGGACAUAGAUAUAUUCUCAGACAAUGCACUUCUCGACCGUAACUUCCAGAGAAAAGGACAUGAUCU
rnacentral:lncRNA from 1 species